rnacentral:rRNA from 1 species
GAACGGCUGCUAAUACCCCAUAUCCUGAGGAGGGAAAGGAGAGAUCCGCCCAGGGAGGGGCUUGCGUCUGAUUAGCUAGUUGGGGGGGUAAUGGCCUCCCAAGGCAACGAUCAGUUGCUGGUCUGAGAGGAUGAUCAGCCACACUGGGACUGAGACACGGCCCAGACUCCUACGGGAGGCAGCAGUGAGGAAUCUUCCGCAAUGGGCGAAAGCCUGACGGGGCAAUGCCGCGUGAAGGAUGAAGGCCCAAUGGGUCGUAAACUUCUUUAGAUCAUAGACGAAUAGAUGACGGUACCUGAAGAACUAAUCAUCGGCUAAACCCCGUGCCAGCAGCCGCGGUAAGACGGGGGAUGCGAGCGUUAUCCGGAAUGAUUGGGCGUAAAGGGUCCGCAGGUGGCCCGGUCAGUCCGCUGUCAAAGCCUGGGGCUCAACCCUGGAGAGGCGGCAGAGACCACCGGGCUUGAGUCCGGUAGGGGCAUAGGGAAUUCCCGGUGGAGCGGUGAAAUGCGUAGAGAUCGGGAAGAACGCCAAGGGCGAAGGCACUCUGCUAGGCCUGAUUUCGCGACUGACACUCAUGGACCAGAG